AUUGAACGCUGGCGGCAGGCUUAACACAUGCAAGUCGAGCGGGGUGAUGGUGCUUGCACUAUCACUUAGCGGCGGACGGGUGAGUAAUGCUUAGGAAUCUGCCUAUUAGUGGGGGACAACAUCUCGCAAGGGAUGCUAAUACCGCAUACGUCCUACGGGAGAAAGCAGGGGAUCACUUGUGACCUUGCGCUAAUAGAUGAGCCUAAGUCGGAUUAGCUAGUUGGUGGGGUAAAGGCCUACCAAGGCGACGAUCUGUAGCGGGUCUGAGAGGAUGAGCUGCGACCCAGGGCUGAGCGCACGGACAAGACUCCAACGGGGGGAAGCAAUGGGGGAUAUUGGAAAAAGGGGGGAACCCUGAUCCAGCCAUGCCGCGUGUGUGAAGCAGGCCUUAUGGUUGUAAAGCACUUUAAGCGAGGAGGAGGCUUACCUAGUUAAUACCUGGGAUAAGUGGACGUUACUCGCAGAAUAAGCACCGGCUAACUCUGUGCCAGCAGCCGCCGUAA
rnacentral:rRNA from 1 species